GUGCAGAUAGUAUUACUGCCUGUCCAUAUCGUAUCAGCAGAUGGACAUGAGAAAACAAACAAACACAAAAGCAACAGAUUCCUACCAUUCUGGAAAUGUAUCUGAUGAACAUUCUGCAUUGCAGUAAAGCAGAAGUCUACUACUCUUUCACUCCAGACCCCCCACAGGUACAAAUUUCAUCAGAAGUAAGUGCAAGAACACUGAGAAAUCACUCCCUUCAAACUGAGGGCUGC